AAAGUUUUAACUUUUAUGUUUAUAAAAUUUGAUCAUGGUUUAUUAGUCGGUUCAAAAUGAUGUUAUCUAAUUUUGAUUCAUUAAGUGGGCAAUAUUUAUUUACCCCGGCAAUUUGUCGCUUGUACAAUUUUUGUUCCAGAAUAAUCGGCUAGACUUAAAUAAGCUUGUACUCUAAUUUUUGUAAAAUUAAGUAUUUAAAAAAAUUUUUUAUUUCUAGGGUAAAAUCAGGAAAUUUAAUAUUAUUUUACUUAAUUUAUAAGAUUUGAUAAACAAACCAGAUUAGUACCUGGUUAGACAAAAUUUAAAAGAGCAGGAGUAAAGUUAUAUUUAAACUGUAAGGAUAUUGGCAGGCUUUUUAAAUUAUCUUUGGAGGUUGAGUAGUAAUUGAGAACCCUCAUUUUCAUCUUCUAUUUUAGGCGCAUGUAUGAUCGUUUAUUUUAUUCUUAAGGAUUGUAAUCAUAAAUUUUUAUUUAUAAAAACAGAUAAAUACCUGGUUUAUAUAGAAGUUUAAAUUUGACCUACAAUAUUUAAUACAUUUGGAUUUUUACCUGAGACGGUAUUAUGAAAUUGUAAAAGACAGUAAAUCAUUUUUCAUAUAUGAUUGAAGUUUAUUUAAUAGCGGUACAAAUCAUCCAUCAAUUGCCCAUAGGGGAGUAAGUUGUAGUAAAGUAGGUUUAGGGGAACCUGUAUCUAGAAAAUUAAGAACUAAA
rnacentral:ncRNA from 1 species